rnacentral:rRNA from 3 species
AAAUUGAAGAGUUUGAUCAUGGCUCAGAUUGAACGCUGGCGGCAGGCCUAACACAUGCAAGUCGAACGGUAACAGGAAGCAGCUUGCUGCUUCGCUGACGAGUGGCGGACGGGUGAGUAAUGUCUGGGAAACUGCCUGAUGGAGGGGGAUAACUACUGGAAACGGUAGCUAAUACCGCAUAACGUCGC